UACGGAGGAUCCAAGCGUUAUCCGGAUUUAUUGGGUUUAAAGGGUGCGUAGGCGGCCUAUUAAGUCAGGGGUGAAAGACGGUAGCUUAACUAUCGCAGUGCCUUUGAUACUGAUGGGCUUGAAUGUACUUGAGGUAGGCGGAAUGUGACAAGUAGCGGUGAAAUGCAUAGAUAUGUCACAGAACACCAAUUGCGAAGGCAGCUCGCUACACGAAUAUUGACUCUGAGGCACGAAAGCGUGGGGAUCAAACAGG
rnacentral:rRNA from 1 species